rnacentral:lncRNA from 1 species
UGAGCUGCAUCCUGAGCGUCGUCCUGAGGACCAUGCGGAUCACCGGGCUGACCUGCAUCCUGAGCGUCGGCCUGAGGAGCAUGCGGAUCGCCGGGCUGAGCUGCACGCUGAGCGUCCAUUUGAGCCGCAUGCAGAGCGGCGACCUGAAUUGCAUGCAGAGCGACAUGCGGAGCGACGUGACGACGCGGGACAGUUAAGAAGGUCACGUAGAUAAAAAUAUAUUAUGAAUAUUUAAACAUAGAGGGAUGGUCUUUCAUCACAGUCUCGCGUGUAAAGCACAUAUCAGAAAUUAAUAUAUCACAAAAUAUUUCUGUUUGGUAACAAUACCGAUGUUUGGUUUAAAAAAAAAGUAAACUAAUGUGUCUCGGUGUAUGUAAAGACCACAACUCACUUUGCUAUGUAGAAAUUCCAGGGCCUUGCUAAUACUUGAUAGCUUCAGUUCUAUUCUUUUACUACUUCGGUUUAAAGAUACUUUACUCUCAAAAAAUACAUACAGUCACUUACAUGAGAAGAGAACUUAUAAUUUAACUUAAUAACUAAUUUAUACAGUGUCGUACGCACCGCCAUACUUAAUAUCGCGCGAAAAACACAUCACAAAAACCAUAUAGUCAUUUACUUAUUUUGUAAAAUAUGCUGAGCUAGUUUGUACUUAAAUUUAUUGUGCCUAUGAUAGAGGUGUUGCUACCUAUUAUGAAAAAUGACAUGUUUAACCAAUGUGAUGUUAAUAUGUAGGCGAACGUGCAGUGGAUUGUAUUGUUCAUGGUAUCCAUAUACUAUAAAAGUGAAAGGUCAUUAAGACAUCACGAAGUCUCAGGAACUGCGAGUGCUGGGAGUCUUAAAUUUUGCUUGGGGGUUCCUUUAGAAUGUACGUACUCAUUAAGAGAUUUUGCGAAAUUCAAACGCCAAGGAGAUAAAAAUGGGUGGCAAAGUUUGUACGAAACUUCUAGUGUUAAUAGUAGGUUAUCUAAUUUACUAGAAAAUACCCAUUAUUUAAAUAAAGUAAAACGUAUUUAGGUAAUUAUCUUUAUAAACAAUCCUAACGAAGGGGUGAAAUAGGGGGAUUAAGUUUGUAUGGAAAAUAUUUAAUUUUUAUAGCUAUCGACUCCAAACUCACUACCCGUGCGAAGCCGGGGCGGGUUGCUAGUUACCUACAGAUAAAAUAAUAGGAUCUGGUAUUUUGGCUCUCUUGGCUCUCACACCGAAGAACUUUUGCAAUUAUUUUUUUAGGCAGUACAAUGAUUCUAGUUUAAAAAGUUUAGUUUACUUUAAGUUUAGUUUAGUUUUAGGAAAAAUGAAAGGGAAGAGAGAAAGGGGUAGACCUAGGAGAACAUUUAUGAAACAAAUAAAAGAAAAGGUGCAGGUCGUGUCGUAUCAGGAGGUGAAGGUUUUAGUGGGAAGAAGAGAGGAAUGGCGAUUACUCCACCGACAAGAGCGCAGCUCUCAAAUAAAGAGAGAAUGUUCUAGUUAGAAUCAUUUGAUUUAAUAUUUGGCUGAUUCAUAUGUUGGUUGAUAGUUAUCAACCAGACCGAAUUCCCAUCAGAAACAAAAUCUUCGAUAUUGCUAAUGUAGUGGGUUGAAUCAAGUUUUAGCAGGUACACUGGCCAGAUAAUCACUUGUCACAAAUGUAAGGAGAGGGGACAGUUUUAUACGUUGUUCCAAGUCAUUAAUUAAAUUUACAUUUUGUUGCAUACAGAGGUCACCAAGUUGGAAAUUGUUUUAGUUAGGCGGAGGAUAGAAGAAUUUAAGGAUAUUAUUAAAAAUAAAACAUUGUGCAUUUAUUUCUAUAGAUAACUAAAAAGGUUACCCAACACCAGAAUUUAUCUAGGAAGUGGGCUGUCAAUAAAAUAUUUGUUGAUUUCGGCAAUGGUGUUUGUUUGUUUGCUCAUGAAUUAAGAGUCCCAUAAUAACAUUCCUUCGUUUCUCCUUCUAUGGUUUGUGAGAUGGAAUGCUAACCUCAGCAACCUAGGUCUCAGAGUUUUUAUUGGGCCGCCAAGGUCAUGGUUUAUGUAACGACUAUGUACUUACAUCAGUAAAUAGUAACCGGGAUCAACGGUUUAAUGUGAUUCUCAAAGCACGAAACAUCUUACUUUCGGACAAUCGGAUGAUCAGUCUUUGAUGUCUUAACCAAACUGGGGAGUACAUUCCCUCAUUAAUUAAAGGCAUAGUUCAAUCGUUAAAAGAGGUAUCGCUAUAUGUAAGUGUCAAUGGAGUAGAUGCUCGGAUUGUAUGUAGAAUUGUUAAUGACAGUUUAUUAGACAUGCCAGUAGUAAUCGGACCGUCUUAGGACCGAUAUUGACAAUGACGUGCCCCAUCCGGGUUCGUGUAGCAAUGUGAAGUUAUUAUUAAAUGACGUCAACAGGUGUGGUCGAGUUUAUGGUGCACUCUCUGUAAGAGCCCAGACUCAUGUCAAGUUUAACGGUAGCGUUCUGUUGAAGAAUAGCAGGCAAAUCUGAUAAGCAAUAUUUCGUACGUGUGAGAACUUUUUAUCAUUGCCAAAAUGGACGUGUGGAUGUUUUAAAGCCACCUUGUUAUAUAUUUAUUUUUGUCGAGCGGUUAGGGUUGUAAAUAGUGAACCAGACAGGUGUACCUACCAUAGAGGUAUGAAUGUGGCUUCGACCAAAGUCAGGACCAUACGAUGAUAAGGAUGGUAAGGCGACAGACAUAGAAAGGCAGCAGUUAUUAGAUUUGCUCUAUAAAUACGUACAAGUAUUAUUUUGCAUUAUCACUUUAAGACUUGGGAGCACUAAUAUUAACAGCGGUGAACAUAGAAUUGGGUAGUUUCCUAGUUCAAAGAUAGGUAUGAAAUUGUGAUUGAUAAAUAAAGACAGAUCUAAAGGUAAAAAUAAACAUUUUUUUGUUUCUAUUUAGCUUCUUUAUGAAUUUUAAUAGGGAAAAUGUAAUUAAUAAGUGCGACAUUUGGGCAUGUUUUUCUACGACGUCACGGGUUGUUUUUUUUUUUUUUUUUUCAUACGGGUUCCAUAGUAAUUUCGUGUUUUGGGGUUUGGUGAAGGGUGACUGAUUUGACUAGUUGAAAACUACCCUGUUGAAUAGCCAACAUCCAGCUGUAUAUUGUCCUUAUUAACGGAAUAGAUAAAGGAAAAGGAAAUGGAACGUAAUAUGGUAGGUAAUAUGUUAGAGGCGGGUGUACUAAGGGAGUAUGUUUCAGAGUAUGCUAGUCCUACUUUAGGAGUUCGCAAAAAAGAGGGGUUCGCUGACGAUGUGUAAUGACUAUCGAAUGUUAUUAUUAAAAUGAUUAUGCUUGUGACCGAAAAUGAAAUAGCACGACUCAGCGGCCAAGCUUGCUUUGUUGCGCUUGAUCUCGCGUCAUCGGACUAUUUAUCGUUAUCACGGACGGUCAGCAAAGUUCGGUCGGACGGAGUUCAAUCGUUUGCCAUUCGAUCUGGCUGUAUACUAGCGGAUGAAGAAUAUGAUCUUGGACUCUGCUCGUUUUAUCAAGGCAACUUGGUAUAUGGACAAUGUUCUUAUCUUUGGGAAAGAUAUGUUUUUCAGAUGAUAGAAAUGAGAUUUCUUGUGUGACACGAUACAUUAUUUAGGAGACUAGAAUGACUCAUGUUGAUGUUUUAUCACGCAAUUCUAUUUCGGACACAGCAGACAUUCUCCCAUUCUAAAAAUAACUAAAAAAAUGACGAACAGAGCAAGGAAAACUUAUGCCUGCAUAUUUGGGACCGUAUUGGGUCAAUAAAAUUUUAAGCAGUAGUUACGCGAUACGUAAAAGACAACGUUUGGCUGCGGAUCAUAAGAUGUUGUGUAUACGUAUGUGGCGGUUUUAGACGUAAAUGAUAACAACUUUUCAAAUUAACAUUUUUGUUGAUGUAUUGUAAUUUGUGUUGUAUAACUGUGAGAGGCAUAUAGCUACAGAACAGUGUCUAUGUUUCAGGUCAAGUAUGUGAAUUGAUUGGUUCGUGUCUUGAUGAGAGCAAAGCAAAAGAAACACAGGCUCAGCUACUGUCACGAGACUUCUCGAUUAGCUCAGAUGGGAGACCUCCAUAAGGAUUUAACGAUUGGCUCAGAUUGGACGCCUCGAUAAGGUUUUACCGAUUGGCUCAGAUUGGAGACCUCGAUAAAAUUUAUCAAUUGGCUCAGAUUGGAGACCUCGAUAAGGAGUUAAUGGUUGGCUCAGAUUGGAUGCCUUGAUAAAGAUUUGUCGAUUGGCUCAGAUUGGACGCCUCGAUAAGGAUUUAACGAUUGGCUCAGAUUGGAGAUCUCGAUAACGAUUUAUUGAUUGGCUCAGAUUGGAGACUUAGAUUAGGAUUUAACGAUUAGCUCAGACUGGAGACCUCGAUAAGGAUUUAAAGAUUGGCUCAGAUUGGAUGCCUUGAUAAGAAUUUAUCGAAUGGCUCAGAUAGGAUGCUACAAAUUAUUUGUAUGAAUCAUUAGUUUAAUAAUGGGUAUCCGAUUGAUCGGAUCCUAAAAAGUUUUCAAGGUGAUUGAAUAGGCAUCGUAUCUUGUUUUAAAAAAUAUAUUAAGUACUAUUGUAAUUAACGAAAUACAAAAGUAACGUAAGAUUUAAGUAUUUUUUUAAAUGAUUCAUAUUUAGUUUGUAAAUUAAUUUGCAACUUUAGUUAUUAAUUUUCUUAAUUUAUUUUUUUGUCUUAUUCGUGUGAUUUGUUACUAAAACUUAAGUUUUAUUAGUAGUAUUUUUCCUGAUGGUUAAUGCUGUGCUUACCUACAUGUUAUUCGUUAAGAUUGGCCAAUAAGUAAAGUUCCUACUUAUUUGAUUAUUGUUUAAAAGAUUCUGAUGCAACUUUGUAACAUAAUUUGCUACUAUAGUUAUACAACAGUUACGAUAUUUGAGCCUGCUAUUAUUGUUUUAUUUAUUACUAAGUACUUAUCUGUAAUUUAUUGUUAAGAUUGAGCAACUGACCAAAGUACCGAUUGUUAGGGUUCCACCGGGUGUCGUGCGCGGGGACGCACACGUUGUCAGGAUGGACGAUUGUUAGGGUUCGUAAUGUUUAUUUAAUUAAUUAAUUAUUAUUAGAUUAUAUAACUUAAUAACAGACGGAAUAAAGUCGUGAAUCUGUGUCACGACUUUAUUAUUUUUAAUUUGGAACUGGCAUAUUAUUUCAUUUGUUUUUAUUUUGAUUUCUUCUUUUUCGAACGGGAACGCUUUCCCGCUUUUUUGAAAAGGCGGUGACGUGGAAUUUUGUUCGGUUGCGGUAAUCUGUUAUGAAGAGUUGAAGAGUUAACAUUGUUUAUGAAAAUAUAACAUUAUUCAAGAGAA